UUUUUUUUUUUUUUAAAGAAAUGUGGCUUCUAGAUGGAUAAAAGGUCUUACUCUAUAGCACAGGGAACUAUAUCCAAUCCAUAUAUAUAUAACUGGGUCACUGUGCUGCAGAAAUUGGCACAAUACUGUAAAUCAACUAUGCUGUAAUAAAAAAGAAAUCAAUAGCAAAUAAAAAAUAAAAAAAGAAUGGACAUUUUUAAAAAGCAAGUUGAUUUUUCCUGGCAUAGACCAUGAUAGAAAGCAUAUUACAGAAGUUCCCAUCAUGGUUCAGCAGUUAACGAAUCCGACUAGAUGCAUGAGAAUGCAGGUUCAAUCUCUGGCCUUGCUCAUGGGUUAAGGAUCUGGCAUUGCCAUGAGCUGUGGGGUAGGUUGCAGACAAGGCUCAGAUCUGACAUUGCCGUGUCUGAGGUGUAGGCUGGCGGCUACAGCUCCUAUUCAACCCUUAGCCUGGGAAUCUCCAUAUGCUGUGGGUACAGUCCUAAAAAGACCAAAAAAAGAUUAAAAAAAGUAUGUAUAUAGGAGUUCCUGUUGUGUCUCAGUGGUUAACGAAUCCGACUAGGAACCAUGAGGCUGUGGUGUAGGCCGGCAGCUGUAGCUCUGAUUGGACCCCUAGCCUGGGAACCUCCAUAUGCCACGGGUGCAGCCCUAGAAAAGACAAAAAAAAAAAAAAAGAAUGUGUAUAUAUAUAUUAUAUAUAAAUGACAGUCACUUUGCUGUACAGCAGAAAUUGGCACACUGUAAAUCAAUUAUAGUUUGAACAAAAGAAAGAAAUGCAGAUACCAGAAAGUUUUAAAUUAUGUAGAUGGCAUUCUAUUUUUAUAUAUUUCUGCUCUUAGGAGUGGAUCGAUCGCCAGCCCAAUUAGCCCAGUAUAGUGGGUUAUAUUUUCUGCUCAAUCUGAGUUUUAUUCUCUGUCUCCACUGCAGGGUCUAGAGGUUGGGGACACCGAUACCAAGUGGAAAUGGGGAUGUGUGUAGGGAAAGGCCCUGACCGUCAGGGAUCAAGUCUGGGGGACCUCUGGGCAGGUCAGCCAGGCUUACUGGGUCAACCAGGAGACAUCUCAUGGGAGCUGCACUUGGCAGAAUGAGGCUCCCACGGACACAGGAGCCCCCAGCCCCAGUCAAGGCCCAGGGCUUGGCACCACGUGGGCUUGUGGAAGGAAUGAUCAUCUAUGGCCUGAAGCGGAUUUGUUACCAGCACAGAAUUCUUUUGAAAUCUGUAGAAGUGUAUCUUUUAAAAGCUUUAUUCCAUGGAGUUCGUUGUGGCUCAGCGGUAACAAACCCAACUAGUAUCCAUGAGGAUGCAGGUUUGAUCGCUGGCCCGAUUAGCCCAGCGUAGUGGGUUAAGGAUCUGGUGUUGCCACAAAGGUCACAAUUGCACUUGGAUCUGACCCCUGGCUGAGGAAUUCCAUAUGCUGCUGGGCAGCCAAAAAACCAAAACAAAAACCUCCCAUCAUCCUUCAUUAUAGACACACACACACACACACACACACACACACACACACACACACUCCCCCCACAUAGUGAGAGGGGGAAUACUCCCAUGUCUUUUACCUUCUAACUUUAAAUCUCUCGUUAGGGUAACUCUUCAGUUCUAAGAAGUUCUGGGUACACAAACCCUACAAUGUGAGGCAGUGGAGAGCAGGGUUGGCCCAAGGAAGAUAGUCCUAGGCUCACCCGGGGAUCUGAGUACCAGAGAAGGUGGUGGGCUCCUCAUAAGCAAGCCCGCUCAGUCUGUUAGGUGGUCCCAGGGCCUCUGCAGGUCCAAGGAUGUGGGAUCCAGUCAAAUCCUCUGUGCCCUGGUUCUGGGUGGGGAGAAGGAAACACCAGCAUCUAGUGUCACAGAAAUGUAUUUCGUAGGGUAGAGAGCAGCUUUCAGAGAUAACAAUAGUUUACAGUGAGUAAAAAGCUCUAGGGCUCUGAGCCCACAACUUUCUGUUUGAGGACAACUUUCUUUGGAAAUCCUGGGGCCCCCUUCUCAGGAAAGGGGCAGUGCCUCAGGCAGGCAGCAGUGAGACACCUGCCACUCAGGACUGAGGCUAAGAAAGAGGUUAAGAGCGAUGCUGGGUGAGAUUGCUGGUGUGUGGGAGACCCAAACCCCAAUGAAUGCACCGAGACGUCUCAUGGAGUUUGUAAAGCAGUUGCCUUGUGAGAGAUCAAUUGGAUGGACUGUUCCCAUGACCCAUGGAUCUCUUAAUUCCCCUUCCAGCUGGAAAAUGGGUGCUCUAAACUCCCAAAGCUCUUUGGGUCCAAAAACUCUAAACUCUGGUCUUGAAACCUUGGUGCUUUUCAAGUAACUAAAUCCUAUCGUAUUGUUUCAGAGCCUAGAUGGAGUUCUGAGUCCAAGUGUCUAUGAGAACCUAUCAGUUUAGGGACCUCAUGUUACAGAGGAACUCGAGGCCAUGCAGAGCCUGAGGCUGCACAGCUGGUUAACAGAGGAGUGGAACAGGGCUCGCAGCGCUGGUUCGGUCCUUUGGUCCAUUACCACCCUGGCUGAGGAGUUAGUCAGGACCUGUGGCUGUCUUGUUUCUGAGCACUGGGGGCAGCCAGGGGUGCUGGAAGUGUUCGUUGGCACCAGAGCACAGUUCCUGGGCGGCCGUACCUCCUCUCUGGUAGAUACAAAGCCAUGCCUACUAUGGAAAACAUCAGCUGCAGUGAGGAAAUGUGGGGGAAAAGAGUAAGGAGAAGAAAACAGUGGCAGAGAGUUGGAGGAAUGAGAGCAUGUGACCAAAGGCAAACUCUCCCCUUUGUCUUAAGGGUCUCCUAACAAAAUCCAGCCCAAGUGGAUUCUCUGAGCGACAGAGGCAACAUCGCCACCUGGUGGCC
ensembl:lncRNA